rnacentral:rRNA from 1 species
AGCUGCUAAUACUGGAUAUUCAUCGUCUCCUUCCUGGGGGGUGGUGGAAAGCUCCGGCGGUCAGGGAUGGGCUCGCGGCCUAUCAGCUUGUUGGUGAGGUAAUGGCUCACCAAGGCUUUGACGGGUAGCCGGCCUGAGAGGGCGACCGGCCACACUGGGACUGAGAUACGGCCCAGACUCCUACGGGAGGCAGCAGUGGGGAAUAUUGCACAAUGGGCGCAAGCCUGAUGCAGCAACGCCGCGUGCGGGAUGACGGCCUUCGGGUUGUAAACCGCUUUCAGUAGGGACGAAGGGUGACUGACGGUACCUACAGAAGAAGGACCGGCUAACUACGUGCCAGCAGCCGCGGUGAUACGUAGGGUCCGAGCGUUGUCCGGAAUUAUUGGGCGUAAAGGGCUUGUAGGCGGU